AAAGGUUUAUUUCUUGUAAUGGUUCUAAGGAACUAUUUUGCGUAAUUGGCGGAUUAAGAGUGAUGUCUUCUUUCGACUUCUACAAGAUUUACAGGAUCUACUACGUAAGUCAUCAAUUCUGGUUAUUCCCCGCCAAAAAAAGAUGGCGGCGAUUCUCGCUCGCAUUAAACGUCCGUCCGGUGCAAUAUAAUAUUUCAAGAAGAAAAGCUCACCAAGGAGAAAAUAAAAUCGCGGUAUGCUGCCACCAAAACGUUUGGAUUUAUUUCACGCGACCUCGAAGCAGGAUUGUGUCGGGAGGUGAACUAGAGCGAUGGAUUAUUUAUCGGGACAUCUCUCGUUCCGUUCUUCUCAUUCCAUUCUUCUUCCCCUCAUCCCUAUUUCUCAAAGCUCCGUGCGUCAUCCGGCGUCUCCCCGGGGAUGCAGGAAACAAUGUCAUCUAUCUUCCAGCGUGAUCCACGUCCGGUGCAUCAUGCUGGAAUUACCGGUACUAAUACACACUGUGCUAUCGUAUAGCCAUACAAGGAUCUAAGAUUAACAUUUACAUCUCUGAUAGAGAUCCUACCUAACUAAAUUACAACACGAAGUCGAUCUUCUUUACGUUUCUUCUUGUUUCAUGAUUUUUUAUCGAUCUCGUUUCUCUAAUCUCAUUUCGAUAUUUAUGAAAGUAUUUAUACGAGGCGAGAAGAGAUCCUUAGGGAAUUCUAUGAUAUAGCUAUAUAUAUACCAUAAGUGUAUUGUGGUUGGCUGCACGAAAUAAAAGUAUACAAGUUUUAUUACGCAAUGAUAAAUCGAGUAAUCGUAGCAAAAGAAUUUUUUCAACACGGUGAUGGGAUUGAUAAAUGAUAAAAGUGCAAAUAACAAGAUGAAUGAUUUU